CGCGGGGUGGAGCAGUGGCAGCUCGUUGGGCUCAUAACCCAAAGGUCACAGGUUCGAGUCCUGUCCCCGCUA
rnacentral:tRNA from 2 species